GGAAGAGAUAAGGGCUGAAAGCAUCUAAGCACGAAACUUGGCCCGGGAGGGGGUCGCCCUGACCCUUUAGGGGUCCUGAAGGAACGUUGAAGACGGCGACGUUGAUAGGCCGGGUGUGUAAGGGCAGCGAUGCGUUGAGCUAACCGGUACUAAUGAACCGUGAGGCUUAACCUUACAACGCCGAAGGUGUUU
rnacentral:rRNA from 1 species